GUCGGCCUACGGGGGGCAGCAGUGAGGAAUAUUGGUCAAUGGCCGAGAGGCUGAACCAGCCAAGUCGCGUGAGGGAUGACGGCCCUACGGGUUGUAAACCUCUUUUGUCGGGGAGCAAAGAGAGUCACGUGUGGCUCAUUGAGAGUACCCGAAGAAAAAGCAUCGGCUAACUCCGUGCCAGCAGCCGCGGUAAUACGGAGGAUACGAGCGUUAUCCGGAUUUAUUGGGUUUAAAGGGUGCGCAGGCGGUCUGUUACGUCAGCGGUCAAAGCCCGGGGCUCAACCCCGGCCCGCC
rnacentral:rRNA from 1 species